rnacentral:rRNA from 1 species
UACGUAGGGCGCAAGCGUUGUCCGGAAUUAUUGGGCGUAAAGAGCUCGUAGGCGGCUUGUCACGUCGGGUGUGAAAGCCCGGGGCUUAACCCCGGGUCUGCAUUCGAUACGGGCUGGCUAGAGUGUGGUAGGGGAGAUCGGAAUUCCUGGUGUAGCGGUGAAAUGCGCAGAUAUCAGGAGGAACACCGGUGGCGAAGGCGGAUCUCUGGGCCAUUACUGACGCUGAGGAGCGAAAGCGUGGGGAGCAAACGGGG